rnacentral:rRNA from 1 species
UACGUAGGGGGCGAGCGUUGUCCGAAGUUACUGGGCGUAAAGCGCGCGUAGGCGGUCCCUUAAGUCUGGUGUGAAAGGUUCAGGGCUCAACCCGAAGAGGGCACUGGAGACUGGGGGACUUGAGUUUGGGAGAGGAGAGUGGAAUUCCUGGUGUAGCGGUGAAAUGCGUAGAUAUCAGGAGGAACACCGGUGGCGAAGGCGACUUCCUGGCCUGUUCUUGACGCUGAGGCGCGAAAGCUAGGGUAGCAAACGGG